CUACGGGGCGCAGCAGUGGGGAAUAUUGCACAAUGGGCGAAAGCCUGAUGCAGCAACGCCGCGUGAGUGAUGAAGGCCUUCGGGUCGUAAAACUCUGUCCUCAAGGAAGAUAAUGACGGUACUUGAGGAGGAAGCCCCGGCUAACUACGUGCCAGCAGCCGCGGUAAUACGUAGGGGGCUAGCGUUAUCCGGAUUUACUGGGCGUAAAGGGUGCGUAGGUGGUUUCUUAAGUCAGGAGUGAAAGGCUACGGCUUAACCGUAGUAAGCUCUUGAAACUGGGGAACUUGAGUGCAGGAGAGGAAAGUGGAAUUCCUAGUGUAGCGGUGAAAUGCGUAGAUAUUAGGAGGAACACCAGUAGCGAAGGCGGCUUUCUGGACUGUAACUGACACUGAGGCACGAAAGCGUGGGGAGCAAACAGGAUUAGAUACCCGGGUAGUC
rnacentral:rRNA from 1 species